GACGAACGCUGGCGGCGUGCUUAACACAUGCAAGUCGAACGGUGAAGCGCCUUCCUUUUUGGUGGGUGUGGAUGAGUGGCGAACGGGUGAGUAACACGUGAGUAACCUGCCCCCUUCUUCUGGAUAACCGCAUGAAAGUGUGGCUAAUACGGGAUAUUCUGGGUCUGUCGCAUGAUGGGUCUGGGAAAGAUAUUGUUUCGGUGGGGGAUGGCUCGCGGCCUAUCAGCUUGUUGGUGGGGUGAUGGCCUACCAAGGCGGUGACGGGUAGCCGGCCUGAGAGGGUGGACGGUCACACUGGGACUGAGACACGGCCCAGACUCCUACGGGAGGCAGCAGUGGGGAAUAUUGCACAAUGGGCGCAAGCCUGAUGCAGCGACGCCGCGUGAGGAAUGGAGGCCUUCGGGUUGUGAACCUCUUUCGCCAGUGAAGCAGGCCUGCCUCGUUUGUGGGUGGGUUGACGGUAGCUGGAGAAGAAGCGCCGGCUAACUACGUG
rnacentral:rRNA from 1 species